rnacentral:rRNA from 4 species
CCCUUUCCGAACCCGGAAGCUAAGCCCGAUUGCGCUGAUGGUACUGCACCUGGGAGGGUGUGGGAGAGUAGGUCGCCGCCAACC